UGUAACUGUAGUCACUGGCCAGCUUAAUAAAGGCUCCUAAAUCUUGAUCUGAGUCCCUGGUGGUUGUCUCUGCGGGUCACCCCAUUACAUUUGGAGGCCCCAGCGAGAUCCACUCCAGCCAAGUUGCCCGUGGACACCCCAGACGCCCCAGGUGAGGACACUCCAGCCUCCGUCCCAGGUCGGCGGAGUGUUUUCCUCCCAAAACUGCAAUCCGAAAAUGACGAGCCACCUGGACCUCCAGCGGGGAGAGUUUUGGAAUUACCGAGGAAGAGCUUGUGAGGAUGUCUGAAAUCCAGGAUUCCAGCAGGGAGGGACACACGAGCCAUGGGAUUGCUUAUGACAUCCCGGCUGCCCCCAACCACCAGCUCAGACCCUUUCCGCUGCGCUUCCGGGAGAUGCUGCUAACCUUUCCGGAGGGUUCUAUGCCCCUUCGCGCUACAAUGCUCCAGAAGGCUGGGCUCCGGAGGCCAGUAAAACUGCCAUGAAAAACGACAUGCAUUUGGUGGGCUCUGACAUGCGGAGAGAAUGGACAUCUGUAUGUUUGUAAUGUCUGUUUUAGAUACAUAGAACUGGGUAUUUAAAUUAGCGUAUUUGUGACUUUAAUGACAUUAAGAUUUACCUUCAAAUGAAAACUCUCAAAAUUCAAAACAACAAACAAACAAAACAAAAAACAACAUGCAUUUUAGGAUGACAUGGAGGGUUCAGCCAUUUCUCCCUCCAAUGGGAAGGGAAAUUUUGAUAAGACACAAAACACUGCUUGGUUUUGCCUCAAGGGACUUACACCCUCAUAGCUCUGGCUCCUCACUUCUCCACAGGAAUUCAAUAAAAUGGCAUGUAACAAUACAAAACAAAAGCAAACAGCAAAGCGCCCUCCACUAAACUAGAUAUAUCCCUACCUCAUGUUACCUUCUAAAAAGUGGCAGAAACCUGGCUUUUGUUGUUGUUGUUAAAUACAGGAGUUAACGCUAAUGUGACUGUUUGAAUGAAGAGAACUGAGUAAAGAUGUUGUCCUACCAAAAUGGAAAUAAAAUUAAUUUCUUGAGACUA